GACGAACGCUGGCGGCGUGCCUAAUACAUGCAAGUCGAACGCAGUGGGGACGGGGGAGUAACACGUGGGUAACCUCCCAUCAGAGGGGAGAACACUUGGAAACAGCUGCUAAACCGAUACUGAGGGAUGCAUUAGCGGUGAGUUAGCUAGUCGGUGAGGCAACGGCUCACCAAGGCAACGAUGCAUAGCCGACCUGAGAGGGUGAUCGGCCACACGGGAACUGAGACACGGCCCAGACUCCUACGGGAGGCAGCAGUAGGGAAGCUUCGGCAAUGGACGAAAGUCUGACCGAGCAACGCCGCGUGAGUGAAGAAGGUUUUCGGAUCGUAAAGCUCUGUUAUUAGGGAAGCGGUAUCUAACCAGAAAGCCACGGCUAACUACGUGCCAGCAGCCGGGGUAAUAC
rnacentral:rRNA from 1 species